GCCUGGGUGGCUCAGUCGGUUGAGCGUCCGACUUCGGCUCAGGUCAUGAUCUCGCAGUCUGUGAGUUCAAGCCUCUCAUCAGGCU
rnacentral:tRNA from 1 species